AUAAUACUCCCUCCAUCCUAAAAUUCUUGUUUUAAAUUUAUCUACAUAUGAAUGUAUCUAGUCAUGUUUUAGUAUUUACAUGCAUUCAUUUAUAGACAAACAUAAGACAAGAAUUUUGGAACGGAGGGAGUACUAG
rfam:Hordeum vulgare subsp. vulgare, WGS project CAJW01000000 data, contig: morex_contig_140989